GAAGAAUCUCACCCUGGGAUGCAUCAGAAGGUGGAAAUGUCCUUGGAUCUGCCCCAGCCAAAGGCCGGAAAUGAAAAUGGGAAGUUCUGGAUUCUGUCAUGGUUUCUCCUAAUCUCUCUUCCCCUAAGGCCCGGGAAGCUCCACUUCUCUGCCUCUGCCCUCCACGGCAAAUAUAGCACUUCUCAGACACUCAGGCUGCCUCCCCUCCACAGCUGUUGCGGGGUACCUGUCUCCUCCCCUUCCUGCCGUGCCAGCCCCUGCCUCGGAGUUCACACACAGCGCCUGAGCUGGCACCAUUUGUGGUGGGCAUUUCACUCAGACUUUUAUGAACAUGAUCUCGCUUAUUAACAAGUGAUUUGUCCUUUCCUGGCCCUGGGAUUGGCUCCUUCUAAACUUCCGUACUUGCAAAGGUGCCAACCAGAAGGACUUGGAAGCCUAUGCUAGUUUGGAGCAUGCAAGAAUUUUCCUAAAAAUCUUUCCAGAAAUCUACUCUCUGUCAACACUACACUACAAUAUUGAAAAUGUAAGCAGACGUAUGGCCUCUCCCCAUCUCCCACUCUGCGACCUGCAGAUGAGGGAAAGCUUCAGCCAGAUUGGGAUUAAAAGACUCCUCUUUACUCUUGUGAUCAAAGCACACUACCAGCCACAAGCCGUGUCAGCAUCGCACCCUCCCGAUUCAGCCUGCUGACCGUUUGCCCAACAUUACUUCCACCGGAUUCUUAUAAAAUGUACAACCUACAUCUAACCGUGAGAAACAUCAAACCAACUCAGACUGGAGAACUGUCUAUAAAGGAGCUGUCAAGCCUCGACGUGAUGAAAGGCAAGAAAAGAAGUGUCACAGAGGAUGGAAAGCAGGACCUGGAGACACAAAUGUGUCAUUCCUGAAAAACGGGUUAAAAGCUCACAGAGGACCCACAGUUUGAUACAUGGCUUUUUACCCUAGUAAAUGUCAUUGUCUAGAUCAUUGUCUGCAGUUACAUCAUAGGAUGUUAACACUAGGGGAUCCUUGUAAAGGUAUUCGGGAACUCUUGUACCAUCGUUCAGAUGGCCUGAAAUUAUUUCAAAAUAAAUAGUUUGAGCCAGGCACGGUGGCACAUGGGUGUAAUCCCAGCACUUGAGGGGCAAAGGGAGGAGAAUCGGGAUUCAGGGGUACCCUCAAUUAUGUAUCAAAUGUAUGGCCAGCCUGAGCUACACGAGACCUUGUCUGACAAAGACAGAGAGAGACAGAAUGAGACAGGGGAGGGCAGGUAUGGUGGGGCAUAUAACCUAUAACCGUAGCACUCAGGAAGGAGUGAGGCAGGGGGAUCAAAUCCUCAAGACCAGACUAGGCUAAAUAAUGGGAGAUGCCAAGGAAAGAUGUUGGGGGUGGAAGGAGAGAACUAAGAAAA
rnacentral:lncRNA from 1 species